rnacentral:rRNA from 1 species
GAGUGAAGCGGGAAAAGCUCAAAUUUAAAAUCUGACAGUGUUUUGCUGUCCGAGUUGUAAACUAGAGAAGUGCAACCUGUGCUGGACCGUGUACAAGUCUUCUGGAAUGGAGCGUCAUAGAGGGUGAGAAUCCCGUCUUUGACAUGGACUACCAGUGCAUUGUGGUUGUGCGCUCAACGAGUCGAGUUGUUUGGGAAUGCAGCUCUAAAUGGGUGGUAAAUUCCAUCUAAAGCUAAAUAUUGGCGAGAGACCGAUAGCGAACAAGUACCGUGAGGGAAAGAUGAAAAGAACUUUGGAAAGAGAGUUAAACAGUAUGUGAAAUUGUUGAAAGGGAAACGUUUGAAGUCAGUCAUGUUGGCUGGGGAUCAGUUCGGCUAAUUU